rnacentral:hammerhead_ribozyme from 1 species
GCACCAUUGACGAGUCCUAAACAGGACGAAACUGCUGUCCAGUGC